rnacentral:rRNA from 1 species
UUAUGGGUGGCGAGUGGCGGACGGGUGAGGAAUACAUCGGAAUCUACUUUUUCGUGGGGGAUAACGUAGGGAAACUUACGCUAAUACCGCAUACGACCUACGGGUGAAAGCAGGGGAUCUUCGGACCUUGCGCGAUUGAAUGAGCCGAUGUCGGAUUAGCUAGUUGGCGGGGUAAAGGCCCACCAAGGCGACGAUCCGUAGCUGGUCUGAGAGGAUGAUCAGCCACACUGGAACUGAGACACGGUCCAGACUCCUACGGGAGGCAGCAGUGGGGAAUAUUGGACAAUGGGCGCAAGCCUGAUCCAGCCAUACCGCGUGGGUGAAGAAGGCCUUCGGGUUGUAAAGCCCUUUUGUUGGGAAAGAAAUCCAGCCGGCUAAUACCUGGUUGGGAUGACGGUACCCAAAGAAUAAGCACCGGCUAACUUCGUGCCAGCAGCCGCGGUAAUACGAAGGGUGCAAGCGUUACUCGGAAUUACUGGGCGUAAAGCGUGCGUAGGUGGUUGUUUAAGUCUGUUGUGAAAGCCCUGGGCUCAACCUGGGAACUGCAGUGGAAACUGGAUAACUAGAGUGUGGUAGAGGGUAGCGGAAUUCCCGGUGUAGCAGUGAAAUGCGUAGAGAUCGGGAGGAACAUCCAUGGCGAAGGCAGCUACCUGGACCAAC